AAUAUUGCGCAAUGGAGGAAACUCUGACGCAGCGACACCGCCUGAGCGAUGAAGGUCUUCGGAGCGUAACGCCCUGUCCUCAGGGCAGAAGAAAGUGACGGUACCUGAGGAGGAAGCUCCGGCUCACUACGGGCCAGCAGCCGCGGUAAUACGUAGGGGGGAAGCGUUGUCCGGAAUUAUUGGGCGUAAAGGGUGAUUAGGCGGCUUUUUAAGUCAGAUGUGAAAGACCACAGCUUAACUGUGGGGUUGCAUUUGAAACUGGAGGGCUUGAGUAUCGGGGAGGGUAGUGGAAUUCCCAGUGUAGCGGUGGAAUGCGUAGAUAUUGGGAGGAACACCAGUGGCGAAGGCGACUACCUGGACGAAAACUGACGCUGAGGCACGAAAGCUAGGGGAGCAAAC
rnacentral:rRNA from 1 species